rnacentral:rRNA from 1 species
GAUGAACGCUGGCGGCGUGCUUAACACAUGCAAGUCGAACGAAGACAUCUGAGUGCUUGCACUUGGAUGGACUGAGUGGCGGACGGGUGAGUAACGCGUGGGUAACCUGCCUUAUACAGGGGGAUAACAGUUGGAAACGACUGCUAAUACCGCAUAAGCGCACGGUAUCGCAUGAUACAGUGUGAAAAACUCCGGUGGUAUAAGAUGGACCCGCGUCUGAUUAGCUUGUUGGUGAGGUAACGGCCCACCAAGGCGACGAUCAGUAGCCGGCCUGAGAGGGUGAACGGCCACAUUGGGACUGAGACACGGCCCAGACUCCUACGGGAGGCAGCAGUGGGGAAUAUUGCACAAUGGGGGAAACCCUGAUGCAGCGACGCCGCGUGAAGGAAGAAGUAUCUCGGUAUGUAAAAGCUCUGUGAUCGGGGAAGAUAAUGACGGUACCUGACUAAGAAGCACCGGGCUAAAAUACGUG